rnacentral:rRNA from 1 species
UACGGAGGGUGCAAGCGUUAUCCGGAUUCACUGGGUUUAAAGCGUGCGUAGGUGGUUCGUUAAGUCUGUCGUGAAAGCCCCGGGCUCAACCUGGGAAUGGCGAUGGAUACUGGCGGGCUAGAGUGCGGUAGAGGAGAGUGGAAUUCCCGGUGUAGCAGUGAAAUGCGUAGAGAUCGGGGGGAACAUCAGUUGCGAAGGCGGCUCUCUGGACCAGCACUGACACUGAGGCACGAAAGCGUGGGGAGCAAACAGG